AAAGUGCCAUCCGAAAGGCAUGGUCCUCAAAAUCUGCCUAGUCUCUCACUUCCCUCCAUAUCAAAUCUCCGAAAGAAAGCCACCAAGCCCUCACUGAAGAACGUAGAAGCCACCCAGAUUCUCGAGAUACAGAAACCCAAACUUUGGGUCACGGAUUUUACAUUGCUUGCUUGAAAAAACUUCAAAACCCUAACCCUCCCUCGACUGCACUGAAUAAUGAAGUUUAACAGCAGUUCUAGUUCAAGUUCUUCGACUUUAAGAAGAAUGGAUGAAGGUUGGUUGGAGAGACCACUUUGUCACUGUGGUCUCCCAUCAAA